CACAAAGUGAAGAUCAAGGUUUCUUUAUAUAUGAUUUUAGCAUUUGUUGAUGGCCGGUCUUGCGAAUUAUUAAUUUCGGUUGUAAAUAUGUAUACUAGUUACAAAGAUUUUAUGUUAUGAAGAAAUAAAUGAUAAUUUAAUUCAAAAAAGAACUAAGGAAGUGGCUAAUUUUCUCAGCAUGCUUAAAAGUGCUUCUGGGAAUGCUGUUGAAAGCUCAAAAGCUAAUGAAAUACCACAUGGUGGUUGGAAAAUAAAACAGGAUAAUGAAGAUUGCCGUGUAAUGUAUAAGGAGGGAUCCACUGGUACUCCGUUUCAUAAUUUACUUGUGGAAGGAUAUGUAGACGGGGCUCUAGAUGUUUGCAUGUGCAUAACGUAGGAGGCGGGACUUUACCCGAAAUGAUUGAAAAGUUGAACUUAGCUAUCAAGGAGCUCGUUAAGGAAAAAGAUGAAGAAAAAGAAAGGUUCAAUGGAAUUAUUGCGGGGUUGUUGGCUGAAAAAGAAAAAGAUAAGGUGGAUAAAGAUGCUAUGCUUGAUAGGAUGUCACAAAUUGAAGCUAUGUUAACAGCUUUAGUUCGAAGAUAAGCUAUAAACACUUGUUUUGAAUGUUUAGAUAUUUAUCUUAUUAGGAUAAUUUUAGUUAUUUUAUGUUUUAGUUGCUAUUUAUUAUAUGCUUUUGAAAA